AGAGAAGGAAAAUGAAGGAAAUAAAUACUGUGUAGUUGUUUCUUGUACAUCAUCUUCUCUUCUUUUUCUUCUUCUUCUACCAUAUUUGUAGAAUAGUGUGAUUACCGUAGUAAGAAGGAGGCUAAGA
rnacentral:ribozyme from 14 species